rnacentral:rRNA from 1 species
UGGGGAAUAUUGCACAAUGGGGGAAACCCUGAUGCAGCGACGCCGCGUGAACGAAGAAGGUAUUCGUAUCGUAAAGUUCUGUCCUAUGGGAAGAUAAUGACAGUACCAUAGAAGAAAGCUCCGGCUAAAUACGUGCCAGCAGCCGCGGUAAUACGUAUGGAGCGAGCGUUGUCCGGAAUUAUUGGGCGUAAAGGGUACGCAGGCGGUUUAAUAAGUCGAAUGUUAAAGAUCGGGGCUCAACCCCGUAAAGCAUUGGAAACUGAUAAACUUGAGUAGUGGAGAGGAAAGUGGAAUUCCUAGUGUAGUUGUGAAAUACGUAGAUAUUAGGAGGAAUACCAGUAGCGAAGGCGACUUUCUGGACACAAACUGACGCUGAGGUACGAAAGCGUGGGGAGCAAACAGG